AUACGGAGGAUCCGAGCGUUAUCCGGAUUUAUUGGGUUUAAAGGGUGCGCAGGCGGCCAUUUAAGUCAGCGGUUAAAUCGUGGGGCUCAACCCCAUUCUGCCGUUGAUACUGGGUGGCUUGAUUGCGGUCGAGGCUGGCGGAAUUCGUUGUGUAGCGGGUAAAUGCAUAGAUAUGACGAAGAACACCGAUUGCGUAGGCAGCUGACCAGACCGCAAAUGACGCUCAUGCACGAAAGUGCGGGGAUCGAACAGGAUUAGAUACCCUGGUAGUCCGCACAGUAAACGAUGAAUACUUGUUUUCGGCGAUAUAAUGUCGGAGGCAAAGCGAAAGCGAUAAGUAUUCCACCUGGGGAGUACGCCGGCAACGGUGAAACUCAAAUGAAUUGGCGGGG
rnacentral:rRNA from 1 species